rnacentral:sRNA from 1 species
AGUUGAUGCAACGGAAAUGACCGGCGCAUCAUGGUAAACAUGUGGCAGCACGAGA